CGACUCUCGGCAACGGAUAUCUCGCGUCUCGCAUCGAUGAAGAACGUAGCGAAAUGCGAUACUUGGUGUGAAUUGCAGAAUCCCGUGAACCAUCGAGUCUUUGAACGCAAGUUGCGCCUGAAGCCAUUAGCGCGAGGCGACGUCUGCCUGGGCGUCACGCAU
rnacentral:rRNA from 1 species